rnacentral:rRNA from 1 species
AUUGAACGCUGGCGGCAGGCCUAACACAUGCAAGUCGAACGAGUGGCGUACGGGUGAGUAAUGUCUGGGAAACUGCCUGAUGGAGGGGGCUAACUCCUGGAAACGGUAGCUAAUACCGCAUCCCAUCAGAUGUGCCCUGAUGGGAUUAGCUAGGUGGUGGGGUAACGGCUCACCAAGGCGACGAGCCCUAGCUGGUCUGAGAGGAUGACCGGCCACACUGGAACUGAGACACGGUCCAGACGCCUACGGGAGGCAGCAGUGGGGAAUAUUGCGCAAUGGGCGAAAGCCGGAUGCAGCCAUGCCGCGUGUAUGAAGAAGGCCUUCGGGUUGUAAAGUACUGUCAGCGGGGAGGCGUUACCCGCAGAAGAAGCACCGGCUAACUCCGUGCCAGCCGCCGCGGUAAUUC